GGGGAAUUUUGGACAAUUGGCGAAAGCCUUAUCCCGCCAUGCCGCGGGUUUUAAAGAAGCCUUCGGGUUGUAAAGCAAUUUUGUCCGGAAAGAAAUGGCUCCGGUUAAUUCCUGGGGUCGGUGACUGUACCGGGAGAAUAAUGACCGGCUAACUACGUGCCAGCAGCCGCGGUAAUACGUAGGGUCCAAGCGUUAAUCGGAAUUACUGGGCGUAAAGCGUGCGCAGGCGGUUGUGCAAGACCGAUGUGAAAUCCCCGAGCUUAACUUGGGAAUUGCAUUGGUGACUGCACGGCUAGAGUGUGUCAGAGGGGGGUAGAAUUCCACGUGUAGCAGUGAAAUGCGUAGAGAUGUGGAGGAAUACCGAUGGCGAAGGCAGCCCCCUGGGAUAACACUGACGCUCAUGCACGAAAGCGUGGGGAGCAAACA
rnacentral:rRNA from 1 species